rnacentral:rRNA from 1 species
GUUGGUGCCUGUAGCGGCGGGGUCCACCUCUUACCAUUCCGAACAGAGAAGUUAAGCCCGCCAGCGCUGAUGGUACUGGGGUUGAUGCCCCGGGAGAGUAGGUCGGUGCCAACU